rnacentral:misc_RNA from 1 species
CAUUAACAAAUCCGUGCUGCAGUGCCGCAGGCGCUGUAGUAUAUUAACUCGGCCUGUGCCGCAGGUGCAGGCUGAUCAUAUCUAUGUGUGUUGUGUUGACAAUGUGUGUGUGAUUAAUGAAUGACAACUUUUAACAAUGGAUCUCUAGGCUCUUGCAUCGAUAAAGAACGC